UCCCUGGUGGUCCAGUGGUUAGGACUCUGCGCUUCCAUUGCAGGGUACCCUGGUUUGAUCCCUGGUCAGGGAA